rnacentral:misc_RNA from 1 species
UUUGCUCUCUCGUACGCACUCCCACUGCCUUCAUCGAAACGAACAAAACAAAAACGUUUGUUCCCCGCUCGUGCAUUCUUCACUCUGUCGGACUCUUCUGUUGCCGCUUCCUUCGUUUUUUUGUUGUUCUCUCGCUCUAGGUCGCCUUGUUGCGCCCGUUGCCUUUCUUUCUCCUCCCUCUAAACUGAAGUCGGGUCCACUCACGAAGUGCUCCUCUCUUUGCCUCCCGCCUCUCUUAUCUCCUUCACCUUUUCACUCGUCUUCCUCUUGAACAUGCAGUUCGGCAUCAGGGUAGAGCCCUAUGGCUACGACAAGCUCGUGUGGCUGGAGACAGACGUUCUCAAAGUGGGCCUCACCAACUAUGCCGCCUCCGUCGCCUCCAUCCAGGUGUACCACCCCGCCGAUAACAAGUGGAUCGAGGUCAACUGCGGCUACCCGAAGAACCCCGAGGAGGCUUACGCCGAUCCGGACUACAUGGGCGCCACUGUAGGCCGCUGCGCCGGUCGCGUCGCCGGAGGCGUGUUCACGCUUGACGGGGUCAAGUACUACACGCAGAAGAACCGCGGCGAGAACACGUGCCACUGCGGCGACGACGCGUACCACAAGAAGCACUGGGGCAUGAAGCUAAUCGAGACGGCCAAUGUGAUCGGCGUCCGCUUCAACUACACCAGCCCGCACAUGGAGAGCGGCUUUCCCGGAGAGGUGAAGAACUACUGCACCUUCACCAUCGACCGCAGCAACCCCAACGCUCUCAAGACCAUCUACGACUCCUACAUCACCGACAACAGCCCGUGCGAUGCUUCUCCCAUCAACGUCUUCAGUCACACCUCCUUCAACCUGAACGGCAUCCCCGGCCAGCAGGACGGUGAGAAGAACUGGGUGCAGCCAGAGAGCGUGCGCAACCACUGGCUCCGCGUGCCAGCAAGCCGGGUGGCCGAGGCGGACCGCAUGGCCAUCCCGACUGGCGAGUUCCUGUCAGUUGAGGGCACCGGGCUCGACUUUCGGCAGGGACGCGUGAUUGGCGACUGCAUUGACGACGUGGCGCUGCUCGACCGCGACCCGUGCGGCUACGACCACCCCCUCGCCAUCGAUGGCUGGGAGAAGGGCAAGCUGAUGCUGCACGCCGAGGCGAAGAGCCCGGUCACGAACAUCUGCAUGAAGGUGUACUCGACCUUCCCGUGCAUGUGGGUGUACACGGCGAACAACAAGCCGCUGCCGGCGAGCGGCGGCCCGGGCCAGCGCUACGCGCGUUGGACUGGCCUGCUGGUCGGCCCCCAGAACUUCUCUGACGUUGCCAACUACUACCCCAAGUACCCGUCCUGCAUUGUGCGCCGUGGCGAGCGCCAGUACUCGGAGACGACGAUCAACGAGUUCACGAUUGAGCAUUAGGGGCCAACGUUGAGCCCAGAAAUGCAUAAGCUGGGUGGAGGAGAAGGGGUGCAGAUGGGGUUUGAUCGAAGAGGUGGCGAUGCUUCUUCACCGUGAAAGGGGGAUGAGAGUGUUGGAGGGGAGGAGGGGCCCACGAGAAGCAAGAUGUGGCUUCAAUGCGACUACAAGACAACUAUUGACUGUUUGCCUCGGUGAGCAGCGUCAGCUAGCGCACACGUAAUUUCGUCCUUGCCUUUUUUUUGUUGUGCUCUUGCUCUCGCUCCUUCUCCACUGCCUCUCCUUCUGUCUCCGUUGGGCCCUCCACGUCUCCCUUCACACACCAGCACACACGUGCACAUGCACACCAUUCCCUCCCCCACACGCAGCCAUCACUAGCGAUGCGACAACCGCGUUGUUGCACAUCCACUGAAGUGCUUUUUUCUUUGCGUUUUAUUUUUUUGUUUUUGUUAUCUCUGUAUUGCGCGUGUCUUUUCGUUACAUGUCUUUCAUGGUGUUUUUGCAGAAACCCCGUAUAUAUAUAUAUAUAUAUAUAUAUAUAUGUGUGUGUGUGUGUUCGUGUUGGAGCGCUCCUCCCGUGGACGGUAUGGUAGCGCCUCAUGCGUUUAUUUCCUUCGCGUUCGCCCUUUCUGCAUCUUUCUGCUCUCCUCCCCCCUCACAGUAUGCAUACACACGCACAUACAUAAAUACGCACUCCCUCACGCUGUUUCACUCAUUAUGUUUGCCCGUGUGUGUGUGUGUGUAUUUUCUAUUCUUUUUAGCUUUCUUUCCCGCCCCAUUCCUCCCUUUUUCACGGUUUUCCACACCUCUCGCUCCCCCCAG